GGGAGGCCGCGGGCCGGGGCCCCCCGGGGGCGUCCCGCGCCGCCGCUGUGGCCUGCGCGUGGGAAUAGCGCAAAAAUCCUCUCCACGGCCCCGAAACGGUGGCGGGGGCGGUGCCGGCAGCCCCCCGCCCCCCCGCGCGGCUCCCGCACCCCCGGCCCCGCUCUGCCUCGGGGCGCCGGGAGGGCUGCGCGGCGCCGCGGAGCCUCGCGCCGGGGGUUUCCCGGCGCUCCUCUGGUUGUGCAGCGUUUUCGUUAGUGCGCGGCGUUUGUCACCUCUCUGCCUUCAAAAACCGAGUGCGAGAAGGAGUUUUCGUGCGUUUCUAGGUUGAUGCCAGUGCUAUCAGAGGACUGGACUCCUUACUAGAAAAGAGCUUUGAAUUUACAGUUUUCAUUUCAUCUGAACUAUUCAAGUGGCCUUCAUUUCCCUGCUGCUGGCCUGAUCCUAAGUGCAAAGAAGCUGUUAUUAGUGGGAUUGGUCUGGUUUCCCCUGCAUCUCUUGAGACAGAGUACAACUGGAGCCCAUCAUUUGUCAGAAAGACCAGAAUUUCUUUUUUAUGGCUGUAAAGAAAGAGGAGAAAAGAACAAUGCUGGAGUUGAGUGACCCGUAAGUUUAAUUACUUGUAUGUUGGAACUUCUGAAUGUUAUAAACUGCUCAUGCCACCAAAGUUACCGAGUUCCUUAGGCUGGGAUAGUUGUGCUGGCUGUGCUGGGCAGGUGCGGAGGUAGGUAGGGUCCUUCUUUCUGCUUCCCACCAUCCAGUCACAUCGUUACAGUCACAGUGCCGUUCACUGCUGCAGUAAUGGCGUGAGGAUUUUGCGUACAGAAAGGGAGUCAAACAUGCAUUUUAUGAUAGUAACCUAAUAUAAUUGUAUAGCUGUUACAGUAUGUGUUAUCAUUACAUUACAGUACUUUGAAAAAAAGGGCAGAAUUUAGAAUAUCUUGUACUGCACCCAAAAGAGCGUUAUCUAGUACAGUUUUUAAAUAGUCUGUGAGUGUAGUAAAAUACCUGCUUAUCUUAAAAAGAGUUGUCAUAUCAGGUAGAUAAUACUUGUUUAAAAAUGUGAGCACAUACCAGAGUACUUGUUCACCUAAUCUAUUAUUUAUGGAAAAAUGUAUUAGACUAAUAUCAUGGGCCAAAAUAUCCUUUAGUGCAGGCUGGUAAAGCCACUUGGGAUUUAUGUAACUGUGCCAAUUAUACUAGCAAAUAACUUCACUUUGUAUUUUUAUAUAUUUAACAGAUAGACUAUUUGAAUUAACAAAGCUCUGUAAUAGCUCAUGUUGACAUCUUGGAAAAUAAACUUUAUAUAAUUUAAAGAAAGUAAAGGUGCACUAGUUUAAAGUGUAAGACAUUUUAAGGCAUAAAUAAAUUCAGACAAAAUCUUUACUCAUUCUUAGUUUUCAGCUGAUUGUUAAUGUCUGUACUGCUCUAUGAAGAUGAAAAAGUUAGGUAAAAGUAGUAUUUUGGAGAAGAGGCUUUCGUCCUUGUUUAAGAAAGAAGUUCCGUAGCUGUUCUAUAGUGUACUUUACAUGGCAGAGAGAGGAUAAAUAAUGGUGAAUUCUGCAUCUGUCACUAUUCUACAUCUGUCACUCAAAGAAAAUUCUUCUUUGCCUUUUUGGGAAAGUCGCCUAAGGGUGAUAGGAUAUGGUUCAUAACAAUAAUCCAUAUUUAGGCGACCAGAAGAUUGUGACAACAUUAGCCAGAGUACGGGAAUGCAGUCUUAAAAUCAAAACAUCUGUUAUGGUAACUUUAACUUACCCUAUUAUGCCUACAUGUUGCAGCGUCAUAACUUACAUUCCUGCAUUAUCUUUCAGUAAGAAUACACAUCUAGCCUUGAAAUUCAGCAGUAACUUUAAAUUAAUUUGCUUUAAACAUCGUAUCAUAAAAUUAAUAUUACUGAAGCACGGCAGUUCAUUUUUAGAUACUAAUAGUACCAGUAAGUGGUCUUCUACUUGAUAGAUUGCAAAAUGUGUUGUAUUUUAUCCUUGAUUAUGAGAACAAUUUGAUUUGCCUCAGCAUAGCUAUUAAACAGUUACAGAGAGAUUGAUUGUAGUGGUAUGAAGGAUUUUACCAUUAAUGGUUUUACGUGAGAGAUUCAGACUGUAAACACGUUUCAUGGCCAUUCUUAACCAGAAUAUCUGAGGGGAAUCCCUUCCUACCCCACAACCCUCCACAUUAGCUUGUCAUGGAAAUUUCUGUCAAAAUAGAGAUAUCUUUGAUUUUCCAGUGCUUCAUAUCACAACGUCUUGCUAUAUCGCUGGCAUUAUAUCAGUAAGAGCUUUGGUCAUGGUUGCAUAAAAUGCAGGGGAUAAAUGCAAAUGCCCAGAAUAAAAUAUUGUAAUGAGUUAAAAGAAGUAUAGUACAUGGUGAGUCUGAUCUUGUCCCAGGUGGGAUGUCAGAGGAUUUCAUCCUGUUGAUUUUAGAGAGGAUCAGUCCCAUCAGAUGUAUCAGUAAAUGUCAACAUUGAUUCAAGUUCUGCCAUCUUUCUACCCCCCACUCUUCUACUUAUCGGCAGGACCCUGGGCUGAUAGCCUGUAGCUGCUGUGGAGUGGAUAUGCAGUGUCUGCACUUGGGCAGCCAAAUCACAUUGUAUGUCCUCUGUUCAUUCUGUAUGGCUGCUAGAAUAACUUAUUAUGAUACUGGACUUCCAAAGAAUAUAUUAACUUCCUGACUCUCUAUAGUAAUACCAUACAGCUGGUUCAAAUAAACAUUCCAAGCCAGUGCAUUUUUCAUCUUGAAAAAAACAGCAAUUCCAAAGAAGUUUUGUAUUUAUUCAGUGCUUACUGUCAUUGCCUUUGACACUAACCACAAAAUUAAUAGUAUAAAAAAUGGGAGUUACUCUCUAGGCCUUUGCACCAAUUCUCUUUUGUUGUUCUUCAUUUAUUUUGUUGACUAUUGCAGUCAAAAUGAGAGGAAAAAUUGCUCAUGGCAUUAAUUUUCUUGAGUUAUUGCACUAUUCUGUCUCACUACAACUAUAUAGUUUUUUUUGUACUUUGAAUAAAAUGUGACUUUUUAUUUGAAGCAGAAUCCAUAUAUAGAGAAUUUAAGUUGCUCUUGACUUUACCUUCUAUAAUGCAUUGAUGCUGGUACAAAAAUAUGGCUAGAUAACUAUGCUAUGUGUAUUAAA